rnacentral:rRNA from 1 species
CAGUAGCCGCGGGAAUACGAAGGGGGCUAGCGUUGUUCGGAAUCACUGGGCGUAAAGCGCACGUAGGCGGAUACUUAAGUCAGGGGUGAAAUCCCGGGGCUCAACCUCGGAACUGCCUUUGAUACUGGGUAUCUUGAGUCCGGGAGAGGUUGGUGGAACUCCGAGUGUAGAGGUGAAAUUCGUAGAUAUUCGGAAGAACACCAGUGGCGAAGGCGGCCAACUGGCCCGGUACUGACGCUGUGGUGCGAAAGCGUGGGGAGCGAACAGGAUUAGAUACCCGCGUAGUCCCUGUCUCUUAUAC